rnacentral:rRNA from 1 species
GGUUCGAUCAUGGCUCAGAUUGAACGCUGGCGGGAUGCUUUACACAUGCAAGUCGAACGGCAGCCUGGACUUCGGUCUGGUGGCGAGUGGCGAACGGGUGAGUAAUGUAUCGGAACGUGCCUAGUAGCGGGGGAUAACUACGCGAAAGCGUAGCUAAUACCGCAUACGCCCUUCGAGGGAAAGCGGGGGACCUUCGGGCCUCGCACUAUUAGAGCGGCCGAUAUCGGAUUAGCUAGUUGGUGGGAGUAACGGCUCACCAAGGCGACGAUCCGUAGCUGGUUUGAGAGGACGACCAGCCACACUGGGACUGAGACACGGCCCAGACUCCUACGGGAGGCAGCAGUGGGGAAUUUUGGACAAUGGGGGAAACCUGAUCCAGCCAUCCCGCGUGUACGAUGAAGGCCUUCGGGUUGUAAAGCACUUUUUGGCAGGAAAGAAACGGCACGGGAUAAUACCCCGUGCAACUGGCGGUACCUGCAGAAUAAGCACCGGCUAACUACGUGCCAGCAGCCGCGGUAAUACGUAGGGUGCAAGCGUUAAUCGGAAUUACUGGGCGUAAAGCGUGCGCAGGCGGUGGUUCGGAAGAAAGAUGUGAAAUCCCAGAGCUUAACUUUGGAACUGCAUUUUUAACUACCGAGCUAGAGUGUCAGAGGGAGGUGGAAUUCCGCGAUAUUAGCAGUGAAAUGCGUAGAUAUGCGGAGGAACACCGAUAGCGAAAGGCAGCCUCCUGGGAUAACACUGACGCUCAUGCACGAAAGCGAUGAGGAGCAAACAGGAUUAGAUACCCUGGUAGUCCACGCCUAAACGAUGUCAACUAGCUGUUGGGGCCUUCGGGCCUUGGUAGCGCAGCUAACGCGUGAAGUUGACCGCCUGGGAGUACGGUCGCAAGAUUAAAACUCAAAGGAAUUGACGGGGACCCGCACAAGCGGUGGAUGAUGUGGAUUAAUUCGAUGCAACGCGAAAAACCUUACCUACCCUUGACAUGUCUGGAAUCCCGAAGAGAUUUGGGAGUGCUCGCAAGAGAACCCGGAACACAGGUGCUGCAUGGCUGUCGUCAGCUCGUGUCGUGAGAUGUUGGGUUAAGUCCCGCAACAGGCGCAACCCUUGUCAUUAGUUGCUACGAAAGGGCGCUCUAAUGAGACUGCCGGUAACAGCCGGGAGGAAGGUGGGGAUGACGUCCAAGUCCUCAUGGCCCUUAUGGUGGGGCUUCACACGUCAUACAAUGGUCGGGACAGAGGGUCGCCAACCCGCGAGGGGGAACCAAUCCCAGAAACCCGAUCGUGAAGUCGGAUCGCAGUCUGCAACUCGGCUACGUGAAGUCGGAAUCACUGGUAAUCGCGGAUCAGCAUGUCGCGGUGAAUACGUUCGGGUCUUGUACACACCGCCCGUCACACCAUGGGAGUGGGUUUACCAAAGUAGUUGGCCUAACCGUAAGGAGGGCGAUACCACGGUAGGAUUCAUGACUGGGGUGAAGUCGUAACAAGGUAG